CUCCUCAAGAUGGCUGCCGACAGUGAGCCCGAAUCCGAGGUAUUUGAGAUCACGGACUUCACCACUGCCUCGGAAUGGGAAAGGUUUAUUUCCAAAGUUGAAGAAGUCUUGAAUGACUGGAAACUGAUUGGAAACUCUUUGGGAAAGCCACUCGAAAAGGUCAGAUCUAUUUGCUGGUGUCUCUAAAUGACUAUUUACUUUGAAACCUCUAUUUUCCAGCCCUUUGCUGCAUUUGGCACAUUUGAAUUAAAUGUUUUUUAAAGUUACGUAUAAUCUAUAAACAUCAAAUAGCAUUUGGAAGAAUUUGGAUUUAAAUCUGUGGCAAAUGAUAUAUGUAAGACAUUUGUGAAAUGUUUAAUAAAGUUAUAUAUAUGUGUGUGUGUAUAUAUAUAUAUAUAAAAUGUCAUUCUUUGUGAGUGAUUCUUUGUGAGUGAAGUUUGCUUCUCUUUUGCCUUCUCCCUUGGAAUGUUAAAACAUGUUUUUAAAAGUUUUUUAUUUGGUCAGAGAAACAUUGCAGUGACCAUCUUCUUUGGUAGCAUAUUUUGCUUACUAAUGAGGAAAAUUCUAGUACUUACCAUUGACUUACUGUAGUUAACAACUAUUUCACUCAGUUUUUGUAUUUUAUAAUAUCACUAAUAACAUCCCCCUUCCCUUUUAAGCUUUUUAACUUAUGGAUGUUUUAAGGAUUUUAUUUAAGAAUGAAAAAAUUACUCUUUGAAAUUGAGGUAGAAAUCAAAUUCUAAUCUAAAGUAUUGGUAGUUUUAUUCAUAAACCACACCCCAAAUGUUUACUGAAGAAUGUACUCUGAGAACAAACCUGGAUUCACUGUGAAGGGAUCUAACAAUUUGAUUUUAAGUUUAUGUAGAUGCUUAGUUUGUUAGAUAAAUUCUUUUGAAAUAAAAUUUAUGGUUGGUUUUAUUACAACUCAAUAUUACUAACUCAGUGAUAACUUAUUAACUCAGUAAUUAUUAAUUCAAUAGUAAUUUAAUUAUAAUUUACCCUGUGUUAGGAACUUUGAGUUCUCAAUAUUUGCUAGGGGUUUUCAGCUUUGUGAUGGUGAUACUAUCAAAAAAGAGACUGUCAAAAUGCAUUAGGAAGCCAGGCAACAUGGUGAGACCCUGUCUCUUAAGGAAAAAAAA
rnacentral:lncRNA from 10 species